rnacentral:lncRNA from 1 species
CAGGAGAAACCUCUUCCCAUGGGAAGGGGAAUCCAUGGAGCCACGUGGGAGGGAAGGUGGGGAAUCGCAGGGGGUGUGGCCACCGGCAGCACAGCCUCCUCAUUCCCAAUCCCGGAACCUCCAUCCCAAUGAAUCCUGGUCACCUCCAUCCCAAUCCUGGAACCUCCAAUCAAUCCUGGAACCUCCAUCCCAAUCCUGGAACCUCCAAUCAAUCCUGGUCACCUCAUUCCCAAUCCUGGAACCUCCAUCCCAAUGAAUCCUGGUCACCUCCUUCCCAAUCCUGGAACCUCAAAUCAAUCCUGGAACCUCCAUCCCAAUCCUGGAACCUCCAAUCAAUCCUGGUCACCUCAUUCCCAAUCCUGGAACCUCCAUCCCAAUGAAUCCUGGUCACCUCCUUCCCAAUCCUGGAACCUCAAAUCAAUCCUGGAACCUCCAUCCCAAUCCUGGAACCUCAAAUCAAUCCUGGAACCUCCAUCCCAAUCCUGGAACCUCCAAUCAAUCCUGGUCACCUCCUUCCCAAUCCUGGAACCUCCAAUCAAUCCUGGUCACCUCAUUCCCAAUCCUGGAGCCUCAAAUCAAUCCUGGUCACCUCAUUCCCAAUCCUGGAACCUCCAAUCAAUCCUGGUCACCUCCAUCCCAAUCCUGGUCACCUCCAUCCCAAUCCUGGAACCUCCAAUCAAUCCUGGUCACCUCCAUCCCAAUCCUGGAACCUCAAAUCAAUCCUGGUCACCUCCAUCCCAAUCCUGGUCCCUCCAUCCCAAUCCUGGAACCUCCAAUCAAUCCUGGUCACCUCCAUCCCAAUCCUGGAACCUCCAUCCCAAUCCUGGAACCUCCAUCCCAAUCCUGGAACCUCCAAUCAAUCCUGGUCACCUCCAUCCCAAUCCUGGAACCUCCAUCCCAAUCCUGGAACCUCCAUCCCAAUCCUGGAACCUCCAAUCAAUCCUGGUCACCUCCAUCCCAAUCCUGGAACCUCCAUCCCAAUCCUGGAACCUCCAUCCCAAUCCUGGAACCUCCAUUCCAAUCCUGGAACCUCCAUCCCAAUCCUGGUCACCUCAUUCCCAAUCCUGGAACCUCCAUCCCAAUCCUGGAACCUCCAUCCCAAUCCUGGAACCUCCAUUCCAAUCCUGGAACCUCCAUCCCAAUCCUGGUCACCUCAUUCCCAAUCCUGGAACCUCCAUUCCAAUCCAUCCUGGUCACCUCCAUCCCAAUCCUGGAACCUCCAUUCCAAUCAAUCCUGGUCACCUCCAUCCCAAUCCUGGUCACCUCCAUCCCAAACCUCAACACCUUCCCAAUCCUGGUCACCUCCAUGCCAAACUUGGCCACCUUCUUCCUGAACCUGGCCACCUCUUCCCAAACUUGGUCACCUUCUCUCCAAACUUGACCACCUGCUCCUCAGUCCUGGCUACCUCCUCUCCAAAUGAGGCCACCUCCUCCUCCUCAAUCCUGGCCACCUUCUCCCUGAACCUGGCCACCUCCUCCCUGAACCUGGCCACCUCCUCCCUGAACUUGGUCACCUCCUCCCUGAACCUGGCCACCUCCUUCCCAAUCCUUGUCACCUCUUCCCAGACUUGCCCAUCUCCUCAAUCCUGGCCACCUCCUCUCCAAACAUGGCCACCUCAUCCCCACCCGUCCCUGCCACACAAAUCCCCUGUAUUCCCACCCUCCCUCGCUCAGCGAUGCCAAUUCCCCUUUUCCUUCCCUCCCCACAGCCGAUUCCCUCGAUUUUCAUCCCAAAUCCCUGCUUCCCAUGGGAAUUUCCCCAAGCCUACAAGGAAAGAGGGGGGUGAUUUUUCCAAGCUUGUGCUGGGAUGUGACACCACUUCCGGGACACGGAAUUUCGUUUAG